UACGUAGGGGGCAAGCGUUACUCGGAAUUACUGGGCGUAAAGGGUGUGUAGGCGGCCGAGCAAGUCGAAGAUGAAAUCCCAGGGCUCAACCCUGGAAUUGUCUUCGAUACUGCUUGGCUUGAGGGUAGUGGAGGAGAGCGGAAUUCCCGGUGGAGCGGUGAAAUGCGUAGAUAUCGGGAGGAACACCAGAGGCGAAGGCGGCUCUCUGGACGGAAACUGACGCUGAGGCGCGAAAGCGUGGGGAGCAAACAGG
rnacentral:rRNA from 1 species